GAAACAGUCCAUCCUCAGGUAAAAGAAAUGUUGGGAGCGGCCAAAUCAACAGUUUGGUACAUUCGGAGAAAAAAGGAGCGCACCGGUGAGCUCAGGAACUC